rnacentral:rRNA from 1 species
GUUAUAUGGUCAAGUGAAGAAGCGCAUACGGUGGAUGCCUUGGCAGUCAGAGGCGAUGAAAGACGUGGUAGCCUGCGAAAAGCUUCGGGGAGUCGGCAAACAGACUUUGAUCCGGAGAUCUCUGAAUGGGGGAACCCACCUAGGAUAACCUAGGUAUCUUGUACUGAAUCCAUAGGUGCAAGAGGCGAACCAGGGGAACUGAAACAUCUAAGUACCCUGAGGAAAAGAAAUCAACCGAGAUUCCCUUAGUAGUGGCGAGCGAACGGGGAUUAGCCCUUAAGCUUCAUUGAUUUUAGCGGAACGCUCUGGAAAGUGCGGCCAUAGUGGGUGAUAGCCCCGUACGCGAAAGGAUCUUUGAAGUGAAAUCGAGUAGGACGGAGCACGAGAAACUUUGUCUGAACAUGGGGGGACCAUCCUCCAAGGCUAAAUACUACUGACUGACCGAUAGUGAACCAGUACCGUGAGGGAAAGGCGAAAAGAACCCCGGAGAGGGGAGUGAAAUAGAACCUGAAACCGUAUGCGUACAAGCAGUGGGAGCCUACUUGUUAGGUGACUGCGUACCUUUUGUAUAAUGGGUCAGCGACUUAUAUUCAGUGGCAAGCUUAACCGUAUAGGGUAGGCGUAGCGAAAGCGAGUCUUAAUAGGGCGUUUAGUCGCUGGGUAUAGACCCGAAACCGGGCGAUCUAUCCAUGAGCAGGUUGAAGGUUAGGUAACACUGACUGGAGGACCGAACCCACUCCCGUUGAAAAGGUAGGGGAUGACUUGUGGAUCGGAGUGAAAGGCUAAUCAAGCUCGGAGAUAGCUGGUUCUCCUCGAAAGCUAUUUAGGUAGCGCCUCAUGUAUCACUCUGGGGGGUAGAGCACUGUUUCGGCUAGGGGGUCAUCCCGACUUACCAAACCGAUGCAAACUCCGAAUACCCAGAAGUGCCGAGCAUGGGAGACACACGGCGGGUGCUAACGUCCGUCGUGAAAAGGGAAACAACCCAGACCGCCAGCUAAGGUCCCAAAGUUGUGGUUAAGUGGUAAACGAUGUGGGAAGGCUUAGACAGCUAGGAGGUUGGCUUAGAAGCAGCCACCCUUUAAAGAAAGCGUAAUAGCUCACUAGUCGAGUCGGCCUGCGCGGAAGAUGUAACGGGGCUCAAACCACACACCGAAGCUGCGGGUGUCACGUAAGUGACGCGGUAGAGGAGCGUUCUGUAAGCCUGUGAAGGUGAGUUGAGAAGCUUGCUGGAGGUAUCAGAAGUGCGAAUGCUGACAUGAGUAACGACAAUGGGUGUGAAAAACACCCACGCCGAAAGACCAAGGGUUCCUGCGCAACGUUAAUCGACGCAGGGUUAGUCGGUUCCUAAGGCGAGGCUGAAAAGCGUAGUCGAUGGGAAACAGGUUAAUAUUCCUGUACUUCUGGUUACUGCGAUGGAGGGACGGAGAAGGCUAGGCCAGCUUGGCGUUGGUUGUCCAAGUUUAAGGUGGUAGGCUGAAAUCUUAGGUAAAUCCGGGGUUUCAAGGCCGAGAGCUGAUGACGAGUCGUCUUUUAGAUGACGAAGUGGUUGAUGCCAUGCUUCCAAGAAAAGCUUCUAAGCUUCAGGUAACCAGGAACCGUACCCCAAACCGACACAGGUGGUCGGGUAGAGAAUACCAAGGCGCUUGAGAGAACUCGGGUGAAGGAACUAGGCAAAAUGGCACCGUAACUUCGGGAGAAGGUGCGCCGGCUAGGGUGAAGGAUUUACUCCGUAAGCUCUGGCUGGUCGAAGAUACCAGGCCGCUGCGACUGUUUAUUAAAAACACAGCACUCUGCAAACACGAAAGUGGACGUAUAGGGUGUGACGCCUGCCCGGUGCCGGAAGGUUAAUUGAUGGGGUUAGCGCAAGCGAAGCUCUUGAUCGAAGCCCCGGUAAACGGCGGCCGUAACUAUAACGGUCCUAAGGUAGCGAAAUUCCUUGUCGGGUAAGUUCCGACCUGCACGAAUGGCGUAACGAUGGCGGCGCUGUCUCCACCCGAGACUCAGUGAAAUUGAAAUCGCUGUGAAGAUGCAGUGUAUCCGCGGCUAGACGGAAAGACCCCGUGAACCUUUACUGUAGCUUUGCACUGGACUUUGAGCCUGCUUGUGUAGGAUAGGUGGGAGGCUUUGAAGCGUGGACGCCAGUUCGCGUGGAGCCAUCCUUGAAAUACCACCCUGGCAUGCUUGAGGUUCUAACUCUGGUCCGU